rnacentral:lncRNA from 1 species
AUCUCACCCUUCUGGGGGGACAGAGGGGGUGAACAUGUGGCUCAGAGUGGCAGGCAGAUCUGGUCUCAGCAAGAGGAGGUUCCAAGCUGGGUGGAGAGUGGUUAGGAAUGCUGGCUAAGCAGAAGGUCAGAAGAAAUAGAAGGAAGCAGCAGGCGGCAGGCAGCCGGGCAGGGCAGAAACACAGGAACACACCACCACCAGACCUUGUGGGCAGCACCCAGGCAAACUUACUAUCUUUACUGGUGGACUGUAAGGAGAGAAGAAGAAAAAUCCUAAGAGAGAGGUUUGUUGGACCUAGCCAUAUUCCAGAAAAUGAUGAUGCUGGAUCUUGUAACACUGAGAAGGGAUAAAGAGUGAACAUCAAUGGUUGCUCAGUUUGACUGAUCGUUCGCCACCUGUCGGGAACCCUGGAGUCAUGAGUGAGGCUGGACCCUGACCGAGGCAUUUCAGUAUCUUUGCAAAAAACUCCAAAAAGGGCCAUGAAGAGUAAGACAUAAUUGAGAUGACUGAACAACAUAAUAAAAAAAUAAAAUAUGGACUCUAUGAGAGGAGG